UUUUUUUUUUGCUUCGUAAGUGUGGUGAUUGGGUGUUCACACCAUUUCAUGCAAUGUACCUUCCCUCAAACCUUGUAACAAAGUCAGCACAUUACCUGUCUUAUG